rnacentral:rRNA from 1 species
CCUACGGGGGGCAGCAGUGGGGAAUAUUGCGCAAUGGGCGAAAGCCUGACGCAGCGACGCCGCGUGAGGGAUGAAGGUCUUCGGAUCGUAAACCUCUGUCAGCAGGGAAGAACGGUCACUGUGCUAAUCAGCAGUGAAUUGACGGUACCUGCAAAGGAAGCACCGGCUAACUCCGUGCCAGCAGCCGCGGUAAUACGGAGGGUGCGAGCGUUAAUCGGAAUUACUGGGCGUAAAGCGCUCGUAGGCGGUAUGUCAAGUCAAGGGUGAAAUCCCCGGGCUCAACGUGGGAACUGCCUUUGAAACUGGCAAACUGGAGUGUGUGAGAGGAUAGUGGAAUUCCAGGUGUAGGGGUGAAAUGCGUAGAUAUCAGGAGGAACAUCAGUGGCGAAGGCGACUAUCUGGCACAUAACUGACGCUGAGGAGCGAAAGCGUGGGUAGCAAACAGGAUUAGAUACCCGAGUAGUC